rnacentral:rRNA from 1 species
AUGUCAGACGAAGAAGUAAUGGAGUCUGGUACUGCAUUCAGCCAACGUUUUGCAGCAAAACGCUUGCGCGGAGUUGCGAAGACAAAACUCAAUCCCACCAAGAGGCACUACAUUAAUGAAACUGGCUUUGGUGAUCUGAUGACCAUUUCACAUUUCAAAGCGCCACCUGAUCUGAUGGAGUGGUUAACUAUGAACAUUGACACUGAAAAGCGUGAGCUCAGGCUGAGUCGGACUAAGGUGAUUGUGUUUACUAGAGACAUGGUGAAGAAGGUUUUCAAUAUCCCAUCAGGCAACAGACCAGUUGAGCUUUUCAAGAGACACGAGCAGUGUGAGCUACGCAACAUUUAUCAUAAGAAUGGCAGGGCUCCAAUUGCGCAUACAGUGACUGUGCUUCACCGAGCAAGGAAUGAUGAUGGCGAUACUACGAAGAGAUCAUGGGUGCUCUUGGCGCUUGCAACCGUUUUAACUCCAAGCACUGGAAACAUGGUGCCUCUAGAGUACUUGAAAAGCCUUGUAGAAAUGGACAAGGUUGCUGAAUUCGCUUGGGAUGAGCAUGUUUUAAGUGUUGCAAUGAGAGAGGUCAAGAAGUGUCAGGACAAGAUAAAAUCACAAGCUACUUCUUCAUUCUGGGUUGGGGGCUGUUUCCCUAUGCUUGCAGUUAUUUACAUGGACCAUUUGAUAUUUCCCCAAGCUGCCAUCAAUGAGCACCAGCUGAAUUAUUCUCUUCCAAGGGCUUGCUUCGUACAUCAAACGGACUUUGAUCUUGUAUUGGAAUUUGACAAGAACAAGCUAUCUUUGGGCAAAGCUUCAUUCGGGAAGUGUCGUUUUCGCCCUCUAUCGGAGACACCGUACAUAGCAUUGCCUGCCGAAGGCCCGGUAGGCAACAUGACUAAAGUUGAUCAAGAUCAGCAGGUUCCGGACAGCCCGGAUUGUGUUGAUACUGAAGAUUGUGGGGCUGAAAAUGUCAACAUUAAUGACAACCAAGCUGAUGUGGCUGAGGAAGAGAAUCCUACGGAAGGUGGUAGCAAUCCAACGGAACAUGGCAAAAGUAGAGACGAAGAUGUGUGUGGUUCACUGGAUGAUUGGCUUCAGAACCCAGCACCAUUCGGUGCAGAGCUUGAGCUACCAUCACAUCUGGCUGCAAUCUACGACAAGCACACAAAACUAUAUUCUUUAGAGUUAAAAGGGGCUCUAAGCUCUUUUGGGCAAGUGUUGCAAGCAAUACAUUGCAAGAGAAUGGGGCAGCUCCUCAAAGAUGUGGACGCUGCUUCAUCAAGUUAUCAGGGAGCAACGGAUGUUAGUUUUGAUGUGCCACCCCCUCGCAGCAAUGAUGUAGACAAGUCAGAUCGUCAUGGUUGUGUCAAGGAAAGCUAUAGCAAGAAAGCCGCAGAUGAGCCAACAACAGACAAGGUGGUUGAGCCGGGUGAAGGAGCUCGAAGCAACCAUGCAAGCGGCAUUGAUCAUGAGUCUAAUGGCGGCAAUGUGGUUGAGAUGGGCACACGAACUAGUGGUGAAGAUAUUGAGCAUGGUGACCAACUCAUCGAGCGCAAUGACUCUGUUGUCAGUGAGCCCCCUGCACAGUCUUUUGAGAAUGCAAGGGAGAAAGUGUCUAGUGGUGAAGAUAUUGAGCAUGGUGACCAAUUCAUCGAGCGCAAUGACUCUGUGCACACUAGCGUGACUGGACAUUGGAGUGAUGCGCCAUCAAUGUGCCUGUUCCAAGAGGGCACCGAGGAGUACGAUUGGUGGAUUAGUGUCCAAAGUCAAGAUCCGAACUCCAAUGCUCCAACUCAUGGCAACACUGCUACAACACCAAAGUCUUGUGGUGUUUUUGAUGUCACUCCUCAGGCUGCAAUAUCAAGAGAAGUAGAAGCUCCUGUGUAUGAUGUCACACCAAUCUCCAUGGCUCCAUUAUCAAGUGGGGCUGCAGAUGGACCAUCAAAGCCACAAGAAGAGACAGUUGUUCUAGUUAGCAGCAGGGAACCAAGCCCCAACCUUGACGAGGAGAAGUUGAAGAGCAAGGAUGAGAACAAACUCAAGAGUAAGAAAAGAGUAGGGAGUCCACUGUCAGCCGGAUCGAAGUACAAGAAAAUAAAGACAGAUUCGAACACGGAAGCAAUGUACCAGCACUAUGUCAUGAAGAGGUACAAGAUGAAGAAGAUGAAGAGAGGGGAAGUUGAGCCUCCUUUCAUUAGGAUUGAUGAUUUCCACAUUACGUACACGAACUUCCAGAAGUCGUUGAAGCCACGUGCUCAUAUUUGUAGUGAAGUCAUGUCAUUAUUCAUUGAAAGCUUCAACAUUGAACAAUUGUCGUCUUCAAAUAUGCAGAAGAAAUUUGCUUUCUCUGUUUUAAUGAGUCUUCAACUCUCUGUCCACCCAGAAGUAUUUGAUCCAAGUGUUUGUGCAAAAGAGCUGAGGAGGGCAUGCCAAAAUUUUCAGAUUUCUGUUUUUGACCUACUUUACUUCACCAUCGUCUACGAUGGCCACUGGAUUGUUUGUGUCAUUAACCUAUUGCACAAGGAGUUUAACUUGUUUGACUCAUGGGAUAAUGGAAAGUUGGAUAUUGCUGCAAGGAAUCUGUUUACCAAUUUCAAGAGGAUUGCUUCAGAAGAGCCAGCUUUCACAGUGGACCUAUCUUCUUUCAAAUCCGACUGGCCGCUGCUUGACUACCCACAAUAG